AAGACUAUACUUUCAGGGAUCAUUUCUAUAGUUUCUAAUUAGGAAAUGUGAUUGGAAAGUGUCGCGUCUCCCUAAUCAUAAUGAUGAGUUAUGAUGUACUUUUCUGAGUAUGUAUCAGAUUAUAGUGAGUGAGUUAUGCAUAAGCUAUAAUUGUUGAUGGGUGUCAUGAAAGACAUCAAAAGAAAAGUACAUGAUCAGAGCGAU